AAAGACCUCAGGAGACUGCCAUGCAAGGACCCUUUGGGAAACAGCCGAUGGCUAAUUGUGUGACUCAGACUUGCUCAUCCCACUGAGUCUCUUUCGGAGGGACAUGAUGUAACCGAUCCAGGAGUGACCUGGUUUUUUCACAUCCUGCAGCCUGCAAGUACGAACUACCCUUUCUUUUCUUCUCCAAACAAAAGAUUAAGACAGACUCCUUCCCAGAAUUUCUGUGAACGCCAGGAUGGUUGCUGCUGUAUCCUGGUCACCUCCUCCCCCCCCACUUCCUGCUUCUGAAUUCAGGAUCAACCUCCCAGUUUUCUCACCGCCUCAUUAUUGUCUGAGUGGCUUUACUGAGGUUCGUGGUAAGGAAUGAGUUAUAACACUACUCAACCAGGCAGCAUUAAAAAGAAAGACAAACAUCCCCAUUCUGGAAAAUUCUUCCUCCUCUAAACUGUGGAGGAUCUGCUGGCUAAACUUCCCAAGUCUUCGCCUUCUGGCAGCUUGCUGGCCUUGCUUUUGCCUAAAAGUCCUCCCUCUGCAACCUUCCCAAAUCUCUCCCCAAAUCUCCAACACCAGCUUCCUGGAUGCUUCAGUUGGUGCAGUAGUUUAGCUGCCUUAGAAUUACAAAGCAUUUAACAAAACCCCUGUUUGAAUAGAGGCAGAUUAGCCCUGUUCUGCUUACUGCCCAUGUAACUAACCUUCAGGGAGUUACUUAAUCUCUUCCGGCAACAACGUCUUAUCAAACAAAUGUAUUUAAAUUUGAAUUUAAGUACGUUUAAGUUCAAAGGUAGUUAAAACAGUAGCCUCGUGUCUGGCAGGCAGGGACUUUAUGAACAUUCCGCUUUCUGCGUUCUCCUUUCAACCUGGGAAGGUAUAUACCAAGGUGUCUUCCUUAGCCAUGGCUCAUCAGGCAUGUCACCGCGGCACUCCCAAGGCUGAGGCAGAAGGAUUGUUGUGAGUUGGAGGUCAGCCAGAAUAAUGACACUUGCCACCACCUUAGGACAGUUCACUGUUAGGGGAAAAAUUUUGUUUUGGUUCACAUGGAUUAAGGAGCCUAUGGGCUGCUUCCUCUCACCAAGAUUCUCUGGCAAUCACGAGGAGGCUCUUAGACAACUUGAACUGUCUGAAGUGUUUCUUGCAAGUCACAGCCAAGAUUCAGUGUAACCGCUCCUGCAGCACUUUGCACACAUUAUACAAUCCUUUUACAGAUGGCUCUCUUAGAUUGGACACUUGCAAGUUAUCCUUUCUCUCUCUCUUUUUUUUUAAAGAUUUAUUUAUUUAUUAUAUGUAAGUACACUGUAGCUGUCUUCAGACACUCCAGAAGAGGGCAUCAGAUUUUGUUAGGGAUGGUUGUGAGCCACCAUGUGGUUGCUGCGAUUUGAACUCAGGACCUUCGGAAGAGCAGUCGGCGCUCUUAACCACUGAGCCAUCUCGCCAGCCCCAUCCUUUCUCUUAUAUUCUAUCCUCAGUGCCUAGCACCCUGGCUGGGGUUCCCUGAAAAUUCUCUCUGCACUUCUACUGCCCAGCCCUGGCCAUAAGCUUUCAAGUGGGCCACAGAAGCAGUCUCUGCAGUGGGCUCUCUGCUUCACCUCUCACCUUCUUCUAUGUGCGCACAUGUGCACACAUGCCAUAGAAUAUUUGUGGAGGUCAGAGGACAAUUGUGAAUGUUGGUCUUCAACUUCCCUUUGUUUUAAGAGAGUCUUUCAUUCUCUCACUGUAUACCAGGCCCAUGAGCUUCUGAGAUUCUCCUGUCUUCACCUCUGGUUUGUAUAUGGGUUCUGGGGACUUGAACUCAGGUUGUCAGGCUUGUAUGACUAGCUUUUGACUCACUAAACCACCUUUCCCAGUCCAAACUCUUGUCUUCCUGCAGGCCACUGUCCACCAGGCUUACAUU
rnacentral:lncRNA from 1 species